rnacentral:rRNA from 1 species
AUUGAACGCUGGCGGCAUGCUUUACACAAGCAAGUCGAACGGUAACAGGGAGCUUGCUCCGCUGACGAGUGGCGAACGGGUGAGUAAUGCGUCGGAACGUGCCGAGUAGUGGGGGAUAACGCAUCGAAAGGUGUGCUAAUACCGCAUACGUACUGAGGUAGAAAGUGGGGGACCUUCGGGCCUUACGCUAUUCGAGCGGCCGACGUCUGAUUAGCUAGUUGGGGAGGUAAAGGCUCACCAAGGCGACGAUCAGUAGCGGGUCUGAGAGGAUGAUCCGCCACACUGGGACUGAGACACGGCCCAGACUCCUACGGGAGGCAGCAGUGGGGAAUUUUGGACAAUGGGCGCAAGCCUGAUCCAGCCAUGCCGCGUGUCUGAAGAAGGCCUUCGGGUUGUAAAGGACUUUUGUCCGGGAGCAAAUGCUGGUGGCUAACAUCCACCGGAGCUGAGAGUACCGGAAGAAUAAGCACCGGCUAACUACGUGCCAGCCGCCGCGGUAAAAC